rnacentral:lncRNA from 1 species
UUUUGUUUUGUUCUCAAUGUGCCUUUCAGCUUAUGUCUAUUCAUGUACUUUAAUUCCACGAACUGAGUAUGUGAGGAAGAAGAAUCACUUGGAAGCCACUCCCAUAUCAUUAACUAAUAUGCUGUACAACACUACCUCCAUCCAGACUAAAGCCUACAAGAUCAUACUAGCAUUGUCACCAGACUAAAGCCAACAUCGGCAUCCAUUCACAAACUGGCCACCAGAGCCUUGACGACAACACUCCCGACCACAACAACACUCCCCCUAACCACAAGAGUCCCAUCCACAACACAUCUGACCACCACAACAAUCACACAAACCACAAGAGUCCCAUCCACAAUACACCUGAGAACCCCAAUCCGACCAUCUUCUUUUUGUCCACCACGAACUCCACCCAUUACCAAACACAUCUCCAAAUAUUUAAACUAUAUUCUCAGCCUUAGAUCCCACACAUCGUUCAUCCACAUAACCUUUGACCAUAAAGCUGCCGAACAGCUGACGCCUAACCAUGACUUACCCGACCACAACUCACCCAACCACAACAACCUUAGCAACCCGUCUCAUGUCGCCACACAUGAUACACCUAAUAGACACCUUUUGUUUUGUUCUCAAUGUGCCUUUCAGCUUAUGUCUAUUCAUGUACUUUAAUUCCACGAACUGAGUAUGUGAGGAAGAAGAAUCACUUGGAAGCCACUCCCAUAUCAUUAGCUAAUAUGCCGUACAACACUACCUCCACCCAGACUAAAGCCUACAAGAUCACACUAGCAUUGUCACCAGACUAAAGCCAACAUCGGCAUCCAUUCACACACUGACCACCAGAGCCUUGACGACAACACUCCCGACCACAACAACACUCCCCCUAACCACAAGAGUCCCAUCCACAACAUAUCUGACCACCACAACAAUCACACAAACCACGAGAGUCCCAUCCACAAUACACCUGAGAACCCCAAUCCGACCAUCUUCUUUUUGUCCACCACGAACUCCACCCAUUACCAAACACAUCUCCAAAUAUU